GGGGGUAUCGCUCAGUGGUAGAGCAUUCGACUGCAGAUCGAGAGGUCCCGGGUUCAGACCCGGAUACUCCCU
rnacentral:tRNA from 1 species